CGACAAGCAAAAGAAGGGCGUAUGGGGGAUGCCUAGGCUCUCAGAGGCGACGAAGGACGUGAUAAGCUGCGAAAAACCGCGGGGAGCUGCACAUGAGCAUUGAUCCGCGGGUAUCCGAAUGGGGCAACCCGGCUGGUUGAAGGCCAGUCAUGCCGUAAGGCAGGCGAACCCGCCGAACUGAAACAUCUAAGUAGGCGGAGGAAGAGAAAACAAGAGUGAUUCCGAGAGUAGUGGCGAGCGAAAUCGGAUCGGCCCAAACCGUUGUUGUUCCGGCAAUGACGGGGUUGUAGGACCACAAUGUUCUUUGCGCGACGAACCGGAAGCAGUUGGAAAGCUGCACGAUAUGGGUGACAGUCCCGUACGGGCAAGGAGCGUUAAAGAUAGUGGUAUCCUGAGUAGCGCGGGGCACGUGAAACCCUGUGUGAAUCCGGCGGGACCAUCCGCCAAGGCUAAAUACUCCUGGGAGACCGAUAGUGAACCAGUACCGUGAGGGAAAGGUGAAAAGAACCGUGAACAACGGAGUGAAACAGACCCUGAAACCAUACGCCUACAAGCGGUCGGAGUCCCGAUUUAUCGGGAUGACGGCGUGCCUUUUGCAUAAUGAGCCUACGAGUUACUUU
rnacentral:rRNA from 1 species